rnacentral:rRNA from 1 species
UACGUAGGGUGCAGGCGUUAAUCGGAAUUACUGGGCGUAAAGCGUGCGCAGGCGGUUUGCUAAGACCGGUGUGAAAUCCCCGGGCUUAACCUGGGAACUGCGCUGGUAACUGGCAAGCUAGAGUGUGGCAGAGGGGGGUGGAAUUCCAGGUGUAGCAGUGAAAUGCGUAGAGAUCUGGAGGAACACCGAUGGCGAAGGCAGCCCCCUGGGCUAACACUGACGCUCAUGCACGAAAGCGUGGGGAGCAAACAGG